CACAUCCCAAACCCCCAGAAAAUCACGAGUCCCUGCGAGACAAGUGCAGACCCGCGUUCACCGCUGGUGGGACUGAAACAUGACACACAGCCUCUGUGGGGAAAACGGUCUGGCGGGUCCUCGGGGAGUCAGACAGCGCUACGCCGUGAUGCCCCUGCCAGGACCCCACCCCCGGGGGAAAAAAAACACGUGUUCGCACAGAAACCUGUGCGCGGACGUUGCCAGCAGCAGCCUCCACGAUAACCCCGAAGCGAAGACCACGCACGUGUCCACGGGUGGACGGUGGAACAGACGAAGCGUGGCGUCUCCACGCAGGGACCGUCCCUCGGCCUUAAACAAACAUCGGGGCCCCCGGCCGGCUCUUGAUCUCAGGGUGGGGAGUUCCAGCCCCGCGCUGGGGGUACAGGUGACCCGAAAAGGCAUCGAUCGAUACGUGCUACGGUUCGGAUGGACCUCGAGACCAUGAUGCUAAGCCAAAGAAGGCAAUUACGAAACGUCACCCGGUAAAUGUCACACGGCAUAGAAUUCCUUUUAUGCCAAGUGUCCAGAGCAGGCAAAUGUUUGCAGGCAGAAAACAGGUUAGUGGCUGCUGGGGAAUUUGGGGUGGAGGAAGCCGGGAGUGGUUACUUAAUGGGCGUGGGCUGUUCCGUGGAGAUAACAAAGUUUUGAAACUCGGCCCACGUGGUGGUUGCAUAACCCUAUGAACUCCCAAGUGCCACCGAAAUGGCUCACUUCAUUUUAUUUGAAUUUCGGUACAAACAAGAGAGAGAGAGACACAAAGAAACUGAGCGCCGGUGUCGGGAGAAAAGCGCGGCAGCCGAGGUCAGAAGCGGUUUAGAUCUGUUCGUGGCCUGCCUCUGCGUGGUCACUCGAAAACGGUGGGUCGUGCGCUGCACAGACCUCACGGUGGUUAGAAAACGGAACAAGAGGAAGGGGUCGGGCCAGAGAGAGCUCUCGGGGGGGGGCCGUGUCUCCCACGGGACCUCCAAGGGGUGGAAACCCCAGGUUUCUGGCUGGGAGGAGAGGAGGGGCCGGGUGUCCGAGGAGGAAGGGUCUGAGUGACCGCUGGCGGGACGGGGACCAGGCAGGGGCAGGAGAGGCGCCUGGGCCCCCCCGCCCCGUGAGGCUGGCCAGGGGUCGCCCGGGUGCACCAAGCACGGCUACCGUCUCGCCAGUCCGGGCACCCGGCCGGCUCCCCGUCGGCCCUCAUCUCGCCACCUGCGACUGCGAGUGUUUGCCGUGUAACUGUCACCCACACUCAGGCCCAGUUGACUCACGCCCCCCACGAGGCAAGGCCACUCCUCCUUGCCGGGAAGGGAGGUCAGGAAUGUCCCGCUCGCACGGCCGGGGCAGGGCAAAGCUACUGGUCCUCUUCUGGGUCGGGGGCCCCUGCACGGCCCCACCUGCGGCUUCCUGCCCCCUGGUUCCCAACGAGCCUCGCGCCCGACCACAAACCCUGACGUCCGUGCUUGUUCCUCUCACGGCAAGGGCAAGCCACUUCGGGGGGUGGGCACAGCACCUCCAAACCUCCCUCAGCCAGACGCCCCUCAGGUGUCACUUGUAACGCCCGAGCCUGUCACCAUCUGACCCCGAAUAAGUGAGGCCAACUAUUUCUAGUGCUACAUUCGUGCUGUGCUUGCUGUAUGCCGGGCCCAGGGCUUGAGCUCCAACACCCCAGCAUUUUUAUCUUCAUUUCACCGCCGAGGGCAAGAUACAGGAAACCCGACUUUCAAAACACUUAGCCACCAGGACGGCUUGGGCACUGAUCCCUCAGACUAGCAGCCAAACAGGUGCAAACCGGCUGAAAAUCGCUCAGUUCCACAAGGCGCUCUCACGAACGUUGGAGGACAUCUCCAGGACAACUUCUCUGAUCCACAGCACAGGAAGGGACCAAGUUGACAGAGGGUCUCCCGGUGGAUGACAGAGCCAGCACAAGACCCGAGUUCCUAUGAAUCUCCCGGAUGCAGACUUACUCCCUCCUGCAUUCCUUACCUUUCCCGUUUGACAAGCUCUUCAGUCACUCACCUCUGUAUCUACCCAUCAUCCACCCAUCUCCUUCCUCCCUCCCUCCCUUCCUCUCUCCCAUCCAUCCAUCGAUCCAUCCUUCCUUCCUUCCUUCUAUCCACUCAUCUAUCCAUCCAUCCAUUCAUCCACCCAUCCAUCCAUCCAUCCAUCCAUCCAUCCAUCCUUCCUUCCUUCCAUCCACUCAUCUUUCCAUCCAUCCAAUCAACCAUCCAUCCAUUCAUCCAUCCAACCAUCCAUCCAUCCAACCAUCCAUCCAUCUCCUCCCUCCCUCCCAUCCAUCCAUCCAUCCAUCCAUCCAUCCAUCCAUCCUUCCUUCCUUCUAUCCACUCAUCUAUCCAUCCAUCCAAUCAACCAUCCAUCCAUUCAUCCAUCCAACCAUCCAUCCAUGCAUCCUUCUAUACUUCCAUCCCCUCCCUCCCUCCUUUCCUUCCCUCCUUCCCUCCCUCCAGCCAGCCAUUGCUCCUUCUAUCCACUCCACCAUACAGGCCCCUCUACAGACAGUUGUCCACCCGACCACUUAACCAACGCCCUAUCUUCCCGCUACACAAAGUCAGCACGUAGCUGUGGAAAAAGCUCCAUCACUUGCCAGAAGGCCUACUGAACUUCCCCACGUCUCAGCUGCUUUAUCUGGGAACCCCCAGACCCCAGAAGCGCAAACUCGUGCCAGCCUCUGCAUGCCCGGGAGCCUGAGAACGUGCCCACCACCUGCCACCAGAGGCACCAGUUAACCUGAACGUCUCACCUGCUGGGUGAGUUUCCUCCUGCUGCGUGACGAAUCACCGCACAGGUAGGGGCUCAGGACAACACAGACAUCAUCUCAUAGUUCUCAAGGUCAGAAGUCCAUGUGGAGGUGACGGGCUCCCCUGCCUCCCCUGGAGGUGACGGGCGCAUCUCCCUGCCUCUUCCUCUUCUGCUUUGAAGGGCCCACGUGAUUGUCCUGGGGCCCUUGGGCAAUCCGUUAACGUCAGCUGGCUGAAAGCCUUGAUUUCGUCUGCAAAGUCCCUUCACAGCAGUGCUUGGACUGUGUCUGAACAAAUAACCCAGGACGGAACUUUCGGGCCGCCGCCCGAGGGCCCAGCAGGGCUGUGCUGCCAGUGCCACCUCUGUAGAGGUACAGAGGACCGGAAGCACGGAGAGGCCAUCCCAGAGGUGAUUCCCAGAGGGAGCCAGACGUGCAGACAAACCCACCAUGAAAACGAGUGUAGGCAGCAAAGGACACAGGGCACACGACUGAGCCCGUAUCUGGGGCGAGUCACUUUUAUGGUGCAAACCACUUGCCCGGGUCGCACCGUGAAUCCUCAGUGGGACCAGACCCAGACACUGGUCUCCAGCUGACCAAGCCACCGCCUUCCUCACUGCAUCUCACACCCUCCUGAUCCACACCACAGGGUCACCGGGGCCCCAGCCCAGGGGGCAGGUCUUGGGUCAGAGGUCAGAGGCGCCUGGGAUGGGCAGGUGCCGUGUUUCCUGCUGCGGGAGAGGCCAGCUGUGCGUCCUCCUGAGGCCGGGGACUUACCAAACCUCACUGCAGGGCAGUAUCCGAGAUCUUUGCCUCAAAGUGCACCAGAGGGACAUCCAGACGGGAGCAAAGUCACAAACUGACAAAGAUCCACUUUAUCUGCCAGGACAGAGUCUGCAGGCACCGAUGCCGGUUCUCCUGCAGAGUCAGUGUCCACACGCCGCAAGAGAUCACCCUUAGGCCCCUUCCGUGCACGUUCCUGGGCCCCUACCCACCAGCCACAUCCUAGGAGACAACCCUCAUCCCCCCCCCCCCCCACCAACCUGGUCCCCUGGGGCCUCAGAGCACAGCCUGGGCUGAGAACUUUGGGAGAGAAAAGCCCUGGGGAGAGAGGUGGGAGCUGAGACAGAACGGCCCCACAGGCCCUGACCGCACCCCAAAUUGCCUCUGGCUGCAAAAAUGGAGAAUGACAGACUGCAGUAGAUCAAACCUGGGUUCAGAUUCCCAACACACGCUUCCUGGGACAGUUACCACAAACUCUGGGGCCUCAGUUUCCCCAUCCAUAAAAUGGGAGUGUGGGUGGGGGGUGAACAACCUGUGGCAAGUACAAAGG